AGGGUUCGAUUCUGGCUCAGGAUGAACGCUGGCGGCGUGCUUAACACAUGCAAGUCGAACGGGAUCCAUCAGGCUUUGCUUGGUGGUGAGAGUGGCGAACGGGUGAGUAAUGCGUGACCGACCUGCCCCAUACACCGGAAUAGCUCCUGGAAACGGGUGGUAAUGCCGGAUGCUCCGACUCCUCGCAUGGGGUGUCGGGAAAGAUUUCAUCGGUAUGGGAUGGGGUCGCGUCCUAUCAGGUAGUCGGCGGGGUAACGGCCCACCGAGCCUACGACGGGUAGCCGGCCUGAGAGGGCGACCGGCCACAUUGGGACUGAGAUACGGCCCAGACUCCUACGGGAGGCAGCAGUGGGGAAUAUUGGGCAAUGGGCGCAAGCCUGACCCAGCAACGCCGCGUGAAGGAAGAAGGCUUUCGGGUUGUAAACUUCUUUUCUCAGGGACGAAGCAAGUGACGGUACCUGAGGAAUAAGCCACGGCUAACUACGUGCCAGCAGCCGCGGUAAUACGUAGGUGGCAAGCGUUAUCCGGAUUUACUGGGUGUAAAGGGCGUGUAGGCGGGAUCGCAAGUCAGAUGUGAAAACUGGAGGCUCAACCUCCAGCCUGCAUUUGAAACUGUGGUUCUUGAGUACUGGAGAGGCAGACGGAAUUCCUAGUGUAGCGGUGAAAUGCGUAGAUAUUAGGAGGAACACCAGUGGCGAAGGCGGUCUGCUGGACAGCAACUGACGCUGAGGCGCGAAAGCGUGGGGAGCAAACAGGAUUAGAUACCCCAGUAGUCCAGAAGUGGCUUCCAGUUAA
rnacentral:rRNA from 1 species